CUUGAAAAAGAAGAUCAGGAAGAGCUUCGAAGAAGCUUUCUUGAUGGAGGGGAGCGGCAGACGGGUGAGUAACGCGUGGGAACGUACCCUUUUCUACGGAAUAACGCAUGGAAACGUGUGCUAAUACCGUAUACGCCCUAUGGGGGAAAGAUUUAUCGGAGAAGGAUCGGCCCGCGUUGGAUUAGCUAGUUGGUGGGGUAAAGGCGUACCAAGGCGACGAUGCAUAGCUGGGCUGAGAGGAUGAUCAGCCACAUUGGGACUGAGACACGGCCCAAACUCCUACGGGAGGCAGCAGUGGGGAAUAUUGGACGAUGGGCGCAAGCCUGAUCCAGCCAUGCCGCGUGAGUGAUGAAGGCCUUAGGGUUGUAAAGCUCUUUCACCGGAGAAGAUAAUGACGGUAUCCGGAGAAGAAGCCCCGGCUAACUUCGUGCCAGCCGCCGCGGUAAAAC
rnacentral:rRNA from 1 species